rnacentral:rRNA from 1 species
UACGUAGGGUCCGAGCGUUGUCCGGAAUUAUUGGGCGUAAAGAGCUCGUAGGCGGUUUGUCGCGUCUGCUGUGAAAUCUGGAGGCUCAACCUCCAGCCUGCAGUGGGUACGGGCAGACUGGAGUACUGCAGGGGGAGACUGGAAUUCCUGGUGUAGCGGUGGAAUGCGCAGAUAUCAGGAGGAACACCGGUGGCGAAGGCGGGUCUCUGGGCCAAAACUGACGCUGGAGGAGCGAAAGCGUCGGGGAGCGAACAGG